rnacentral:rRNA from 1 species
GACGUAGGGCGCGAGCGUUGUCCGGAUUUAUUGGGCGUAAAGAGCUCGUAGGCGGUCUGUCGCGUCUGCUGUGAAAACUCGGGGCUUAACCCCGGGCCUGCAGUGGGUACGGGCAGACUAGAGUGCGGUAGGGGGAGACUGGAAUUCCUGGUGUAGCGGUGAAAUGCGCAGAUAUUAGGAGGAAUACCGGUGGUGAAGGCGGGUCUCUGGGCCGUAACUGACGCUGAGGAGCGAAAGCGUGGGGAGCGAACAGG